ACGAUCGCCAUCUACCAGCGUUUUACCUGGCACUGGCAGCGUUUUCCGAGUCAGAGUUUCCCUCACAAGUCGAAUCGAGUGUUUCUCACGUCAAGCGAUCUCGGUUAGUAUUUUUGUUCAUUUUUAUCAUCGAUUCAUUUUCUUUACCUGCAUAAACAUUGAUUUGAAAUUUCUUCCUCGAAUAUAUCUGUAUAUAAUCUGUUCUAGUUUCGUUUUUUCCCCAGUUUUGCUUAUGCUGAAAAUUAAACAUGAUUGUUGAGUUGUCUUGUAAUAUUGGGUUGUUUGUUUCACAUUAAAAAAUUAUCAAUUGAUGAAGGUGGUGCACUCACCAUUAAUUUGCGCAGGUAUUGAACGAUUUUAUUGCAUUGCGUUGCAUUUUACAUCCGUUCCAAUCUACUGUUAGAUAUUUAUGUUCUUUGAAGCCAUUAAUUUGGUCUGAUGAAUUGAAUUCCACUUAAUUCAAUAGAUCCAUGACCCUUUCGAAUCUUGCAGGACAACAUCUGAAAUUGAUGUUACGUCCUGCUCUUGGGAGAUGGUGGGGGAUAAAGAAAUUUCCCUGAGGAUGCUGAUUGUGAAAGUUAGAUACUAGAUAGUUUAAUCAAAGGAGGAGGGAGAAGCAUUAGUAUUUUUGUGAAUAAAUAUGUGCUAUUUGUGUUAACAUAUAUAUAUGUAUAGUAAGAAUUCAGUGGUUACUAAUGACCACAUCUCCUCUGGUUUGAUAAUUUGUUUGGUUUUUAAAAUAUUUGAGAAUAGCUUAAUGAUCUUAUAAAUUAAAGACACUAAAUUAUAGUGAAAGUAAUGUCGAUACAGUGAAAGUAGUGUCAAUUAUGUGAAGAUGACCUCUGAUGUUGAUUUUUGGUAUGAUGUUUUAAACAAAAAUGAGUGAUCAGAUGUAUGAAUUAAUAAUGUGUACUAAGACACUACAUUAAUGAAGGGAAUAUAUUUUACCAGAGGUGAUGUGUUAAAAUGGCAUCAAAUUUUCAACUUUGUUCAUCUCUCUUUGUUUUUUGCUUCAAUCAAACUGAAUAUUUUCGCAGGUGGCAAUGUAAGUUUUCCUUUUUGCUGCUUCAAUUACUGAAUAAUGUAAUUAAAUUGUUGUGAUUUAUAUAAUAUUAGCUUUUCCUUUUGCUGGCUUGGUUAAUAGCUGUUAGGUAGUUCUUUUUUUUCGGAAUUUUCUUGUUUGCUUAAAUUGUUUAUAUUUCUGACUGGUUUAUGAAUUGCAUUAGUUGUUUUUCUUUUUCUUUUUCUU
rnacentral:misc_RNA from 1 species